GACAGAGGGUGCAAACGUUGCUCGGAAUCACUGGGCGUAAAGCGCGUGUAGGCGGAUCCGCAAGUCGGGUGUGAAAUCCCCGGGCUCAACCCGGGAACUGCAUCCGAAACUGCGGGUCUUGAGUGCCGGAGAGGGAAGCGGAAUUCCUGGUGUAGAGGUGAAAUUCGUAGAUAUCAGGAGGAACACCGGUGGCGAAGGCGGCUUCCUGGACGGCAACUGACGCUGAGACGCGAAAGCGUGGGGAGCAAACAGG
rnacentral:misc_RNA from 1 species